UCCUUUUUAUUAUUCCUUUUUUUAUAACUUAGAAUUAACUUUAUUCUGUCUCUAUUUGCUAUUUGGUUCUUUCUAUGAACAAAAGAGACGGAAUUGAUUACAUUUAUGUGAUAUUACAAUGGUAUCUGUAAUUGUGUGAUGUACUCUGUUUAUGUGAAAAAAAAAAAAAUCAAAAUAAAGUGGGGAAAAAAAAAAAAAAAAUUUUCGCAAUAAGGUUCAUUUAUAGCUGCGUUCAAGCGAUCUUGUAAUUGCCGUAAUACCAGUGACAACAUGUGACGAUCUACUCAGAGCUGUUCCACGUCCUCAGUCUGGGAGUUAGUGCCUAGUUAAUGUCUAAAUGAAUCUGGCAUCAGUGAGGUGGUUCAGCGAUCACAUAGUCCAAGUAAUAGCUCUCAGAACGUUGCAGCUUACAUGCUGUAAUUACGAGUUCUCCAACCAUGUGAGCACUUUGGCAGUGUUAGUGUUGCCAUAGAGACAAAUAAUUCUAAAUCCAAGGACUUGGAACUGCUCCUACUAGAACAUCAUGUGUUGUCAUUUCAGUCUUUUGGAGGUAAUUAUGACAUAGCUUAUAAUAAUUUAGCGAUUUCAUCUGCCCAUUUUAUCCUUGUUAAUGGUAAACGGAACUUGGCUUGCAAUCCUCGAUGAAGGCUCGAAACUGAGACUUGAAUUGAGCUCCGAGUUCAAUCACCCCCCCCCCCCCCUUUGCGAUACUACAUACAGGGAGGAUGACAAACAGUAGAGGAGAUGGGGACUUGGAGGGAAGCCGGAAGAAUUGAUGUUGGGACGUUGCGAUGAGUGCUGCUUCUAUAGGCUCCUAUUGAUUACUGACAAGGACUGAAUGAUUAGGCUCUUCCAAAAGAUACAUUUGAAACUUCAUAUAAUUCUGAGUCUACUUGGAACAGCUCCAAGAAGACCAUCAUGCCCACAGCCAGGUGUGGAAGAUACAGGUGAGAUAUCCAUCCAUCAGAUUAGGUGACACACAAACAUCACAUUCAAAAAGGUUAUUUUGAUUGAACUCAACCUAGUUUUGAAAGUGAAUCUCUGUUCUGUCAUUCAUUUUUUUAGAGCGUGACAGAGUACGUCUCCAUAUCGCCUUAUCUCUACCUCUUUAUUUUCGUGCAGUCACACCGUUGUUCAAAUGACAGCUGUUUCCUUUGACAAGCAGACCUGCACUGCCUGGAGAAACACACGCAUAUGCACAUAACGUCUCAAAAUAAGAGAGUGAAUGGUAAUUACUCAUUCUUAAGAGUCAAACAGCUGUUCACUGCACGCGUCUACAGUCAUUCAGAAAACACACAAUGAAAGAACAGCCAAGGGGUGACGACUUCAAAAGAAAUCAAAAGAGCCGAGAUAACACAAACUCUAAUAAUUUGUAUUUGAGAGGCACUUCUUUCCAAAGAAGCUUAAAAUAAAUGUAUCAAUAUGUCAUCCCCAGGAACCGAACCCAUGACCUAAUGCAAUACUCUAUCUGUUUAGCUAAAGUAAUAAAACCCGCUACAGGAAAAAUACACAAACAUUUUUCAAAUUGAAGACACAAACAUUUUCCAAAUUGAAAUCUCAUUUGAUUAAUAAAAUCCUUAAUCCUUAUUUUAAACUAGAUAAGGGAUUACGGAUUAAAACAACUAUCAAAAUUCACAGUGCCGUCAAAUACUGGAGUGGAAAAUUAGGGGCACUUGGAGUCAAAAAGGAUGAGAACCACUUCUCUAAACCAAGAUUAAACAAGACAUUUUGCUCAGGAAAAAUACUCUGAGAAACGGGAGACAUUGUAUGUUCUUGAUUUAAUAUUGAUGUCUAUAAGAAAUAAUUGAGAUAUCAAAUU
rnacentral:lncRNA from 1 species